CAUCAUCCUAUGCUAUCUACUCUCUAGCUUCCAUUUCUCUUCAGAACCUAAGGUUUAACUCCUGGUGCCUAAGUUCUGAAUGAUAUACUCCUAUGGUCCUAUGAGAUGGAUGUGCUUCCUUUUGCUAACUCUGUGCUAAUGAAGCCUGGUUCAUUCACCAGACCAUAAUGUCCUGUUAACAACUUCAUACAUCCAAGAAAUAGUGAUAGCAGCUUGUUUCCUCCAUCAUCAGGAGAAGGAGAAAGGUGUGAUAGCUUUCACAUGUGUAGCCACAUGGAUCCAAUGGCAAGAUAUAGAGCAAGACAACUGGAGACGACAGCAUGGAGUGGGAGAUUUUGACCUUUUUAAGCUAAAGUCUUUCCCAGGUCUCAGUUUGACUGAGGCAAUGAACUAGCCAAUUAAAGCUAGGUAAGAAAUGAGAUAGAG